CGAGUUUGAUCCUGGCUCAGGAUGAACGCUAGCGGCAGGCUUAACACAUGCAAGUCGAGGGGUAUUGGUUUUCGGACCAAGAGACCGGCGCACGGGUGCGUAACGCGUAUGCAAUCUACCUUUUGCAGAGGGAUAGCCCAGAGAAAUUUGGAUUAAUACCUCAUAGUAUAGUACUUUGGCAUCAAGGAACUAUUAAAGUCACAACGGCAAAAGAUGAGCAUGCGUCCCAUUAGCUAGUUGGUAAGGUAACGGCUUACCAAGGCUACGAUGGGUAGGGGUCCUGAGAGGGAGAUCCCCCACACUGGUACUGAGACACGGACCAGACUCCUACGGGAGGCAGCAGUGAGGAAUAUUGGACAAUGGGCGCAAGCCUGAUCCAGCCAUGCCGCGUGCAGGAUGACGGUCCUAUGGAUUGUAAACUGCUUUUAUACAGGAAGAAACACUCCGACGUGUCGGAGCUUGACGGUACUGUAAGAAUAAGGAUCGGCUAACUCCGUG
rnacentral:rRNA from 1 species